UAGGGAAUCUUCGGCAAUGGACGAAAGUCUGACCGAGCAACGCCGCGUGAGUAAAGAAGGUUUUCGGAUCGUAAAACUCUGUUGGUAGAGAAGAACGUUGGUGAGAGUGGAAAGCUCAUCAAGUGACGGUAACUACCCAGAAAGGGACGGCUAACUACGUGCCAGCAGCCGCGGUAAUACGUAGGUCCCGAGCGUUGUCCGGAUUUAUUGGGCGUAAAGCGAGCGCAGGUGGUUUAUUAAGUCUGGUGUAAAAGGCAGUGGCUCAACCAUUGUAUGCAUUGGAAACUGGUAGACUUGAGUGCAGGAGAGGAGAGUGGAAUUCCAUGUGUAGCGGUGAAAUGCGUAGAUAUAUGGAGGAACACCGUGGCGAAAGCGGCUCUCUGGCCUGUAACUGACACUGAGGCUCGAAAGCGUGGGGAGCAAACAGGAUUAGAUACCCUGGUAGUCCACGCCGUAAACGAUGAGUGCUAGAUGUAGGGAGCUAUAAGUUCUCUGUAUCGCAGCUAACGCAAUAAGCACUCCGCCUGGGGAGUACGACCGCAAGGUUGAAAC
rnacentral:rRNA from 1 species